UCCUGUUAUUUCCCUUGGGCAGCAUGUGCGAGAUACCGAGCGUGAAAAAGUCCGGAAUUCCGGUGGGGUCCGCGAGAGCCUCCUGGAACAGUUUUGCUAGAUGUCUGUGUGUUGCCGAGAAGUACUUCCACCAGUAAUUCUGUAUUUUAUCGACGCCAGGUGCUGACCAGUUGUUUGUCUUUUUAAGUGUCAGUUUUAUGUCAUCCUCAGAUAUGUUUACGUCGUCCAUGUGGUACUUGGUGGAGGCUGCUUCGGCUUCCCUGAUCCAAUGGGCUUUGUCAUCGUGGAGUUUUCCCCCCUCCCACACGCUCUUCCAGAAUUGAUGCAUUGAUUCCUCCGUGGGUGGACUCUCUUCCUCAGAUGUUUCUUGUUCGAGGUGGCGGAAGAACUGCUGUUUAUUUCUAUAAUAGAGCUGGUUGUUCUUAUACCUUUUUACUCUUUCGUUAUAUCGUUGGAUUCUACUUCCUAAUGCUUUUAUUCUUUGUUUCAGCCUGUCAAUGAUUACGGUUAAGUUUUCCCUGAAGUUGUUGCUACGGGCUUUAAUCCUGAAUUCCGACGCUAUUCAGUGUGCAAGCUUCUCUACUCUAGUGGAUGGUGCUUCAGUAUUCAGGCGACACUUCCAAGGUGGUGUUGUUUCCGUUUUAUACGAUCGCGCAUCUCUAAUCUUCAUCCCCAACUCGGAGCAUACGGUAAUUGCCCCCGCAUAAACGAAAUCUGUUACGUCUUCCAGUUUCCAGUUGUUCCGUGAGUUUUUCUGAAUUAAAUUAUCUACCUCUUGUA